AAUUCCGACAUAAACGCCAUUUUGUAUUAUUUUGUCUAGAGAAUUGUGUGUUUAGAAUUGUAAUUGUGUUUUAUUAUCGUUUAAUUAUAAAAAUAUUAUACAUUAAAUUUUAACAACUUUCAACAUUCUUAACAAAGAGUGUUCAAAGGCUCCAAAAUUGAUAAAGAAACAAAAAUGUCGCGUUAUCGCGAAUGGGAUUUAUCAUGCAAGGUGUAUGUUGGUGAUUUAGGAAGUAGUGCUAGUAAGCAUGAAAUUGAAAAUGCAUUCAGCAAAUAUGGACCAUUGAGAAAUGUAUGGGUUGCUAGAAAUCCACCUGGUUUUGCAUUUGUUGAAUUUGAAGAUCCUCGUGAUGCUGAGGAUGCUGUUAGAGGACUACAUGGAACACGUUGCUGUGGUACUCGAGUGAGAGUUGAAAUGUCAUCUGGACGUAGUCGUCGAGGUGGUGGUGGUGGUGGAGGAGCUGGUGGCGGUGGUGGUGGUGGGGGAGGAGGAGGAGGACGCAGAGGUGCACCAAGAUCCAGAUCAAGAAGUCCACGCAAGAAGUCUGUAGAGCGUUAUCCAAGAUCUUUGUCCAAGAGCCCAAAGAGAUCACCAAUUAAUCGUUAUUCAAGAUUCUACCAGUGUCAGCUCCUAGCUCUUCUCGUCUCCCCGCCACUACUACUACUUCUACUACUACUACUGCUACUACUACUACAACAGCCUCCGUGAACAAAAAAAAAAAUAUCAAAAAAACUAGCAAUCAAAACUGAAUAAAAAAAAAACAAAUCAAACAAAUUGCCUGCCCACUAACCUCCCAAUCAGUUCACCAUCAGUCACCAUCAGUCACCACCGUUAGGAGAAAAUAAAAGUCGUCUGUCACAACGUCUGUUAUCCUCGCAUUAAUACGACUUCUUCAGAUCUACCACAACUUCUAGACUACUUAGGAGCAUCUUAAAUUUCAUCAAUAAAAAUAAUAACAAUCAGAACGCGUAUGAAUUCUUCGAUUACAAAAAAAAAAAAAAAAAAAACAAACAAAAAUAAAUAAAUCAAAUAAUCAAUCAAAUAAAAAACAAAUACAAAAAUCAACGCGUUGCAACCCAAACGUUCUUCUACUGCUACUACUCGUCAACCAUCACAAGUUAAAAUACUUAGCUGAACAAUGCGAAUCGUCCACUUGUCUUCAAUUGAGCCAAAUGCAAUAUGAUCACCUACACAACCAUCCCACCACCCAACCAAGUACUACCAUCACCAUCACCACCAACCACCACCAACCACCAACCACCACAUGCUCACAGUUGUCUGAUCAAGAUCACGUAGUCCCCGCAGGCGAUCAUUGACACGUAGUCGCAGCCGAGACCGUCGUUCUCGUUCCGACUCACGCGACAGACGGUA